rnacentral:rRNA from 1 species
UACGUAGGGUGCAAGCGUUAAUCGGAAUUACUGGGCGUAAAGCGUGCGCAGGCGGUUCGUUAAGACAGAUGUGAAAUCCCCGGGCUUAACCUGGGAACUGCAUUUGUGACUGGCGGACUGGAGUAUGGCAGAGGGGGGUAGAAUUCCACGUGUAGCAGUGAAAUGCGUAGAGAUGUGGAGGAGUACCGAUGGCGAAGGCAGCCCCCUGGGCCAAUACUGACGCUCAUGCACGAAAGCGUGGGGAGCAAACAGG